AAUCUCGUUCUUAGCCAUGUCAACUUGACUUUUAGGUAUUCCCUAUGCUUUCUGAUGACUAAAAUAUAGCCUUUCUUUUUUGAACAAUCCUUUAUGCCAAUCUUUAUAGUCAUUCUACUUGCAUUUAAUACCCUUUUUCAAGAGAUUAUUUAGCUAAUUAGAUCUGAAAACCCUCUCUGGAAGUUUUUCCCCUUGGCUGGGGUAUAAAUUUUACAUUGUUUUUGUACUCUUGUCAGUGCAGCUGUCUUUACCAACCAAUACUCUUAAUUUCUCAUAAUCUAUCCUUUUGAAAUUGGGAACCUUAGGGCACAGUCAUACAUUCAUUUCUGAAAUGGAUUUAGCAAUUUAAGAUGUCAUUACCCUAUGGCUAUUCAUUAAUACCCUUCAGUUGUUUGAAAUUGUUGGAACCUCAGCUAUGGGGACUGAUAACUGAUGGCAUGAGCAUUUCCAGUCCAUUUCAGAACAAAGUGGAACAGGUUUGCUUAAACUUCCCUUAGCAGCCUUUUAAAUCUGUCUGUUUCACUUCGUACAGAAAUGGACUUCCACAAUUAGUUAUUGUCUCUCAGCUAAAUGGAUGGUUACAAAUUGGAGAGUGACAAUAGCUUAAAGCAGUCAAUGUCUUUGAAUCGCGAUGUGUUGGCUAGGAGGGACCUUGGGAAGUCCCCUUGUCCCGCCGCCCUCCGUACGUGGGUACAAAGCCAAGACCAGGUCAGGUCAGUCAAACACGUCUUGAAAACUUUCAGGGAAGGAGAUUUUACAACAAUGUGGGGCUGUCUGCUCAGUUUCACAUGCACUUCUGUUUGUGAUUACGUAUCAAUGAAACUGAGUCAGCUUGGGAAUUAUAAUUACAACAUUCAUCCAUGGUAACUUUUUGUGACCAGUUCUUCUGUAAGUGCUUAUUUGCUUUAAAUCCAAAGUCAUCUUUGAGUAUAGUCUCUCUGCUUUAUAUUUUAUAAAAAUGACUGUCUGCAGUAUCAACUUUUCAUAGGCAAUUGUUAUCAGAGUUCUUCUUCAGCAUGGAAAUUUUGCUAAUCUUUUCCUCUUAUUUAAUGUUGUUUUUUCUGAGUGAUCUAGAUAGAGUUUCUUUCUCUUAGCUUCCUGGGAAAUAAAAGUGAUUUCUUUCUCUGGAGCAGACAAUAUUUUAGGUAGGAAGCCAAGCUAAAGGUUGAAAAGAAGUAGUGUCAUACCAUUCAACAUACGCAGAAUUUUCCUGAAAAGAUUUGUAGCUUCAGAAUCACUUAAAACAGGAAUGAUGAACUGAAGCUGUUUAACAUUAGAAGAGGUAGAAUCUGGAAAAAAUCAGCUUCAGAAAAAAAAUGAAAUCCAAUGGUCCCCACUCUCUCCUGAGAAAUUAAAGACAGAAAGAGGUAACUGCUGCUGCUAUGUACAUUUUGCUACAGGUCUGUCCCAAGGUAGAAGGCAAGGUUAUAACCAAAGAGCACAUAAUUCAGGCCUUCAGGAUCAUGACAUGUUAUGCUCCACAUAAGAAGCAUAGGAAAGGGAUGAGCAGGGAGGGAAAUAUCGAGUUGUUACUAAGGAUGAAAUGAAUAUAAUGAAAAUGUGCUGCACUGUAACUUGCUGUUUUAGACAGAUAUGUGUAUUUUUAUAUUGUAGAAUAGCUCCAGAUUUUCUUUAAAAAUCCUUAUGUAUUCAUUAUCAUGCUUCUAUAGCAUUUAAACACAGGCAUAUUUUGUUCUGCUAAUGUUAGACCCACAUGCUGAAGUAUUCAGGGAAGUACUGUUUCUUACAUAAACGUCCAUGGAAGCAAAUUACUUGGCAAUGGACAGAAAUAUUUGCUAUUCUUUAUCAGUUAUUCUCUGUUCUUUUCUUGGCUUUCAUCAAUUUCCUGUCUUCUUAUGGGAGAGCAGAAACAAUAGCCCUGUGUCCUAUGUAACCAAACAAAUGCCUGGAACAGAUGGAGGCACCAUUAUGUGAACAACUCAGGAGCCAAAAUUUGUUUGCAUAAUCUGUUCAGGAUACGCUCAUGGAUAGUUAAUAUACGUUUAUAAUCACUCAUGAAUCUUUCCCAAUUUAUUUCUAUAUAAUUGGGGUGGAUUCAUGAAUGAUUUAUGAACAAAGAAGUGAACUACAUUUGUCAGAUGAAUUAUCUGUGGUGAGUAAUCUGACCUGCUCAUUAAAGGUCCCAUAUUUUGAGUUUAAUGUGUUUUUUGGGUGUACAUGUGUGAUGGAAUUUUUCAUAAAUGCAUAUUCAUAAAAGUGUUUUAUUAAUGUUUUUUUCUUCAAGCCAUAAUCAUUCAUAUUAUAGGGUGCCACGUAUGUCAAAAUAUUCUUCAGGACAAUAAGCUAAAUUGGAGUGACAUUUACCCUAUGGAAAUUCUAAACAAACCAGUCAGAGAAUUUCUGUUUUCUGCUAUUUCUAUUUUCUUCUAUUACAGAAUCUUUUCAUUCAGAUGAUCAGAAUAUAAAAAACACUACAGCAUGAAAAUGGUUAAAAGUAUCACUAAAUGUCCAUUGGAUUCUCUGAACAGGUCAUUGCCAAGCUAGUGAAUUUCUUGGUUGGUUACACAUCCUCAUUUUCAUUUCAAGAUGCCACAGAAAGCAUUCACUGCCGGGCAGCAAUUAGUACUUAAUCAGGUCUUAUGGCUGAAAUAUUUGUCAGCAGCAAUGGAGAGGAAUCAUUUGCUUCAUUUCUGAAGUUCAGCACUGUCCUCUAUGUAAAGUGGCGCUCAUUAGCAUUCAGUACCACUGCGUGGACAGUCUUUCCAGGGCUUUAUCUCAGAUGGUCCUUUUUAUCACCGGGCAUGAUUAGUGUCUUUACAAAGAGGCUCUUCAGAAAUCUUUCUCAAGUAUAAAUUCCCUGUUAUUGUUUAUGGAUCAUUUGUUCCUGGUUUGUUUGGCCGUAGACAGCAUUUUUAGAUUAAGAAAAAAAAUCACAAGAUUCUUCUUUCUUUUUUUGGUAAAUCAUUUUAACUUUAAGAUGGAACUGUGCCUCUGGGAUCCGAGGCAGCUCUCUGUAUGACUUAGAAAUGCACAUAAACUGACUGAAUAUUACAAAACAGUCCAUUUUGCCUUGCUAUCAGGAGAAAAAAAAAAAAGAUUGAUGUUUUCUCCAUUUCUGUGGAAUAUGGAAGGGAAGCUAAGUGUGGAACAGAAGCAAGACAACAGAAACUGUCCCACCCUGUCUUUACAAGGCACACACAGAGCUGUUUCAGAGAGAGAGUCGAGCAAAUUGUGCUGUUGUAGGAGCGUAAAUGCUGCCUGUGGUUGUUCCCUCUCUUCUAGAUGUUGCAACGAUAGUGGUGUAAAACAGCGGAAAGGCACAGCUGCUUGAUUCCACUUCCUUGCUGAUUCUGACUAUAUUACAGAGCUCCAACAGUUGGUCUGUGCUCGUAAAGACCAUUUUAUUAGAUGUUUCUAAUUUCUACUGACAGUGCGUCAGUGGAUUUUGUCUUCCUGCAAGUAAGUCUUCAGAGAAGGAGAGGGGUGAACCAAAGCUUUUCUUUUUCUGUCUGUGAGACCAAACCACGUUGCUAUCUUUUAUAUUUACUUAUUUUUUACAAAGACCUUACAUCAUUACAAUUCAAUUAAUAUAUGACAAAACUUAAAAAAAAAAGAGAAUAGAUCAAAAUGUAAAUGAAGGCUUUUUGUGUUUUUUUUAAAACUUUUUUUGAGAUAUCCAAAGUGCUUGCUUUAUGAAGUAAUGUGCAUAAUCAUGGUGACCCUGUUGAACAAGGUUUCAUAUAAAUGGAUGGAAGAUUUGUUCUUUUCAGAUCAAUGGAUUUAAUGCUUGAGGCUAAGUGCUACCAAUUCUGAGCUAAGUGGAAGAGUUAUUUCAUGUAUUUUGCAUUCUGUACUCCUGUUUAUACAUUCCAAUUUAAUGUUUGCCUUACCUGACAGCAGGUCUUCAAGAGCUGCCAUUCAGCAUAGAGUAAUCUAUAAUCUAUACAGUUCCUUUUCAGAAGAACUGCUUCCCAGCCAGUUUGUUCCUGCCUAAGGGACUACCACGAACUUCUCCUUAAUGAAUUGGGUUUAUAUUCUUUCUUUAAACUGUCAAUGUCCUUUGGAAUUGUAAUCCUACUCCUCCAGCCUUGCCUAUUUUCCUAUAUAAUAUAGAAUGUAAAUAUAUUUACAUUCUAUAUAAAUAUGUUUUUAUAUGUAACAAGAACACUCUCUCUAGCUACCUUCAGUUCAUUUGUGAGAUAUGAGGUAGAUGUAGGACCAAAUUAGGCCUUCACAAAAUCCCAUUAAUACAUCUAUCCAUUGCCAGUCAAACAUUAAUGACUAUUCACUCAGUAUGGAAGUCAUGAGUCUGGGCUCAUCUUAAAUGAUUUCCGUUAAGAUCCAGUUGCUUUAAUUUGUUUAUGAGAACGUUACAUGAAAUAGCACCAGAAACUUUACCAAAGUUUGUAAAUCCUGUUAACCUGCUGUGCCACAGAAUCACAGAAGAGAUGAGGCUGGAAGGGACCUCUGGGGAUCAGCUGGUCCAGCCCCCCCGGCAGCGUCGGCUACAGCAGGGUGAGCUGCAGCAGGUCGCCCCAUGUCCAGUCCGGGGCUGAAUAUCUCUAAGGAUGGAGCCUGCACAGCAUCUCCGAGCAACAUAUCCCAGUGUUUGAUCACCCUGACAGCGAAGAAGUGUUUUCUUACGUUUCAGUGCAAGUUCCUACAUUUCAGUCUGUGCCUAUUUGUCUCUUGUCCUGUCACUGGCCACCACUGAGAAGAGUCUGGCUCUGUCUGCUUUACAUCUUCCCACCAGGUGUUUGUACACAUGGAUAAGACCCCCCUCAGCCUUCUCCAGGCUAAAUAAUCCUAGUUCCCUCAGUCUCUUGUAUAAGGAAACUAUCCUCAUUUAGACGUUUUUUUUUCUUGGUAAAUCUACUUUUGCUGUACCUCUUUUCAGCAUUGUUUGUUUCAUUUGCUUACUAAUAGGCUAUUUACUCUUGAUUAUUUCCAGGUAUUCAGAUUAAGAUAGUUAUCUCACUGCUGCCUCCUUUGAAAGAAAGACAACACAUUCCCCUUUUCCUGGUUUUCUCAUCCAUCUCUUAUGAGAUCUCAGAGUGACUCUCUGGUGAUUCUAACAGUUCAACAGACUGUUUUUAGUCUCCUAAGGUUAAGUUCAUCUUGUUGAAGUUAUCUUAAAACAUCUAAGUGUUCUACAUAUUCGUUUAUCUGGUCCUUUCCUCUUUUGCUUUACGUCCAGUGAUUAAUGAAAGUAAUGGAACCAACAAUAAAUAAGAAUUUUUGAUACUUCUGGGUUCUAUUACUUUGGAAUAUGAAGCCAGUAGAGGGAUAUUCUGUCAAUCCUGAAUACCUAGGAAAACGGCAUGUGUCAGUGGUAACAGCUGUUACUAGUGGUAGUACUCUCUGCUUUGUUUUUCUACUUCUUCUGAGAAAGAAGGGAAAGGACCAGAGGACUUGCGCAGCAUAGAAAUGUGCAAGGCACUAACUGAGACUAGUUCAUUUCUGAACGCUCCAAUUAUGGGAUGACUUAGCAUAGCUAUGUUUACUUGCAUUCUUUUCUUCUUUUUCUGUAACAGAUCUUAAAGGGACCUGAUUAAACCAAAGGUGAGGGAGAGAAAAACUUUUUAAAUCACAAAAGUGUAAAAUACAUGGAAAAAAAUCCAAAUGGAUGAUAAAUCAAUUUCACGUUCUCUAUGUGGAUUUGCUACCCAGGAAAAGAUUCUGACUAUCUUUCUGAAAGGAGAAGGCCAAUGGAGUUCAGUCUCCUCCUCUUUGCUAAGAUGCCUUAAAGUAAUGGUAUAUAUGAACUGUGUCAUACGAGGAAUUUCUGAUUUCAAAAACUUGUAGUAUGGCAGAUAGAUAAAGACAAAUAAACAAACAAAAAUCCCUGUGUCUCAGUAUAUGGAAUAGAAAUUGAAAGGUUGGGAAUCAACAAAGCAAAAAUAUCCGUACAAGAUUUUCUUUCCUCUGAAAUUUCUACUUUUCUUUGAAAAACUUGAUUCUUUUACAAAAAAAUUUUUUUGCCUCUUUCUUGUAUGAAGUUUGUAAUUUUUCCAUUGGAGAAGCCUAGCUAUUCCUAUCCUAAUUCAAAUGCCACCUAAGUAGUAUACUGCACUUGCUUAAAUAUUUGGCAUGUUUUUUUCACUGACAUUUUACAGAUUUCCCAUCGAUGAUACACUGUGUAAUAACUGUAAAUCUUGAAAGCUGCAAGUUUGAUUUUUAAGUUAUGACUGAGCAGUAGGGAUAAAUAUGAAGAUCAAAUGUAGUCGUAUAUCUGAGGACUUCAGAGCUCUUUACAGGCAUGUAAUGGAAUUUCAGAUACACAUUUUGCACAGGUGCAAGUAAUUAAAUCCCUCUCUCAGUGACAACACAGUGACACAGUUGUACCCAUGAAUACAGGCUGACGGUCAAAUGGAGAAGAAUUGAGAAUAGUGGAUGAUUCAUUUGAAAACAAGAUGAAAGAUUUGAAAAUAAGAUGAUUGUUUUACAAAUGUUUAUGUAUAGUAAAGUAUACUAAAUAAUCACACUGCAAAUGGUUCAGAAUAACUACUUAUGAUGUUCUUAUUUUCUUUAACUGUAGGAUUCAUCAGUGAAGUAUGCUGCGCAUUUUGCUUUGAGUUUUGACCAAAUCAGCUUUAUUAGUCACUCAUCAGAAGGGUUUUAAUCUUUAGAAUGAAAAGAGUACUGAAGAGGGCAAGGGACAUCAAAAUCCAAAUGGUUACGUAGACCACCAAAAUAUGGUGAUCUAUGAGCUAGUGAAGGUUUCGUCUGGCAGUGCCACAGCUCAUCUAAGCAAAGACUAAGCGGGAGAGAGUUGCAGAACACUGAGCCUAAACAAAUGGAGAAUCUCAUCUCUGACAGACUGGUUCAAGUUAAACCAGCUUAUUUUGCACUGGAGCAGACUAUGAGCAUUCACAAGAUAUGUCACUGUGAUUCAGAUGAAAGGAGACAUCCCCAUCUGUCCCUGGGAACCGAGACCCUAUGCAAGGUGUGUGCUUCUCUGUGAAGGCCUCGCGGGAAGAGGGGACGUUGAGUCGUCCAGGGUGAAGGUCUUCAUUCCCUAACCUGACCCCAGAGGCAGGCUCAGAUCUCAGCUCGACAUGGGCACGUAGGAGCAGCUCGGCUUUACUGCUGGGAAGCAGCCACGCCGGGAGGGAGGAGGAGCUGGCGGCGCCCAGCUGCAGUGCUCGGUCCAGAUAACACCCGUGCUGGCAAAGGGCAGACCGGCAGAGCCCGUGGAAGCUCAGUUCACAUGUGGUAUAAACCAGCACGCUAUGUACACUGGCCAGCCCAGCGAGGACAUGCAGUAUCAAGGCUGCUUUGUGUUUGCACGAGGCAGGGUUUGGGUGAAAUGCAUUACUGGGGAAUCAAAAUUCAGUCUUCUCUCUGCCAAACGUAGGGCUGUUAUUUAAUACUAGCGGCUUUUCAGCUGUGUCUCCAUAUUGCAUUUAGUGUUACAUAACGCAGACAAUGCUAUUCGAUAACCACUGAAGAUGAUAGAACAAGAUAAGAGUGUGAGUGGUACUGCUAUUACAGCUAGCUUAAGUUAACUUAGUUCUGGUGAAAAUAAAUAGGAUUUAUUGGAACAUAAAACACUGAAGGUGAGAGGCUGAGAUGAAUCAAAGUAUUCCUUCCUAUUCCACAGACAAACAAUGUGAAGAUACCACUUGAAAAUAGAAUAGUCAAUAAACAUAAUUUUUAUCUUAUUUAGACUGAGCUGAUAGAAUACUAAUGUUGAAAGGGACCUCUGAAGUUCAUCUAGCCUCGUCUGUGCUCAAAUCACGUCUGACUUAGGCUAUGCUCCGGUUACUCACGGCCUUGUUCAGUCAAAUUUUGAGUACCUCUGAGGAGCUUCCACGACCUCUAUGGGCACCUGUUCCAGGUCAGACAUAGUUACUUUAUGUAAUCUGAGAUAUUUUGUAUUAUUAAUUAAGAUAAUAAAAGAUGGAAAUGGCAUCCUG